CUUUCUUCAACAAACACGGGCCUGUGCCCAGAAUUCCUCUGCUCCUGCGGGAGUUCAGGGUCGAGUUCUGUGGCAGCUCGAUCGUCCAAGGAGCCAUCAAAUUCAUGAUGUCAAUCUUCCGAUCGACAGGUUCAAGAGUGACCGGUCUUGAGGCAGCCAUGUUCGCCGUCAAAAGCUUGAGCGUGGUGUAAUCUUGCACUGGGGACGUCAUAUUCCUACCCCUUUUUCCGAGAUCGUCGAUCUAUGAGGUUAGGGAAAACCAUGACUUGCCCACAAAC
rnacentral:sRNA from 1 species